UCUGUAAUGUAAAUCUCUGACUAGACAAAUUUAAAUAUAUAAAGAUAAAUAUUUAUUUUAAUAUGAGUAUUUAUUGAAUAUGUCAAGUAAGAAUGAUUUCCUUGAGUUGCCCAUGCUGAGGAAGAAACAAAACUUUCUCUGUAAUUUUUCUUUAGUUCUUUCCUACAUGUUUCCUUUUUCUCAGCCUGUCUCUCUUCCUUCCUACCCCAAUGUUGUUUUCUUCUCUUGUUGCACAAUCUAUCAUUCCACAUACAAUUAUUAAUUUUUUCCAGACACUGUUUUAGGUGUUAGGGAAAUAGGGACGAACCAAAAAGAUCUUACUCCUACCUUUAAGAGGUUCUCAUCUACUAGAGAAAACAGACAUGAAAUAUUAUUAGAAGUGAGAUGAUUAUUACAAAAAAUGUGAAAAACACGGUACUUUAGUGUAUUUACAAUGAACUUCUGACUGUAAGUUUAUACUUGGGAUAGCAGUGAAAUUAGAAAAUUUAUCUUAUCGGGGAAAUUAUAGUCCACUGAAAAUUGAUACUAAGCAUUACAUGCCAAUAUAAUUCCUUGCUUUUUUUUUUUCUAACAAUCCUAUUUAGUUUGAGAGAAAUUACAGAGAAAACGAAAUGAAUGAUUUGGGGUUGGACAUUAAAAGUUAGGUGAAAUUUAGGAAUCUCAGAAAAAUCUUAUUUUUAAAGUUAAUGGCUUUAAUCAACUUUCUGCCUUUCAGAUGAUCCAUCAGUUUAAGCCUAUUCCUAGAUCCUUUAUUCUAGGAAGGGUAAAGCAAGAGUUCAGGGAAGACAGUCCCUAGUCUUAUAUUACUGGUUGUUAUGCUGCUACCAGUACCACAUAUGUCUUUCAUCUUUGUCUCUUCUGUGGAUCUGUGAUUUGCAGACAUCUGAUGCCUCAACUCUUUUCCUUUAGCUUCCAACUUUUGUUAACUUCCAACCUUUGUUCCCAGGCCUGGAUAUUAGCAGCUUUAUUCCUCAAGCAGUGGCUUACACCAAUUGUCCCUUCCUCAAAAAAAAAAAAAAAAAAAAAAAAAAAUUCUGGACGCAACCCAGCCUGCCUUGUUAAAAUCUUCACUGCUUGUUGCUCUCAUUUGACAUUUGCCAACUGCUCUCUUACAUGAAACAGAUUUUAUGCCUGCAUUUCUACACUUCAGUCACCUCGGGAUCCAAAAUCUGCCAUGUCCAUAGAUUUGUUAUAGCCUGCCAACUGUCCCCUGUGCCAGAUGGUCUGCCUGUGGACGUUUUCAGUAUAGAUCUUCAGAGUUCCCUAAACCCUUGAACUUAGCCUCUAUUAACCUGGGUUGAGUGACUCUUUCACUCAGUAAGAUAAUGGUCUUCCUGAGGUAGACCCGUUUCUAUUUUAGUCACUGCUGAAUCCCCAGUAUGCAAUUAAUAUUUAAAUAAAUGAUUUACUUCUUUUACCUUAGAUUGCUCGUGUUUAUAAAAAGUGCAUAUAAUUAUGUGUUUAAAUCUCUGAAAAUAUGGUUACACUUCCUACAACUUUGCUUUUCAAGUCUUGCAUCAGAUUAAAUAAGUAUUUAAACCAUCAUUUCCAAAUCAGGAAACUAUAGUAAAGUUUGUUCUCUUAUUUUUUUAAUGAUAUACUAUGUUCAAGACAGCAUUCACAUGGUUCUGAAAAUAAUUGGCUCCUUAAAAACAAAACUGCUAUAAGUACUGAUGAAUUUUGUAGCCUUCUUAAUAAUACAUCUUCACCAAGGAAUCAUACAUUGUUUACUCUGAAUAAGAUAUAUUAUGUAUUAAUGGCACAGUAUAACAUCUGAAAGAACAAAAAUUGAUCCUGGUGGAGGGGGAGAAUCUUAUUCUUCAUAUGUAUAAAGCACAGAUAUUCAUACAUUACAUA
rnacentral:lncRNA from 1 species